UAUUGAACAACGCAAAAAAAUAACACUGCCGAAAAGCAUUUUGUUCGAGAGCCCGACGUGCUUUUGCAUAUUGGAGGCUCCAGGACAACAGAAUCGUUGAGCUAGUGGAGAGGAAACAUCGCAGAGGAUCUUGGGUGCCGUUGGCUUCUUUACACCGUGGAGUCGAGGGCAAUGAUCAACUGUACAU
rnacentral:sRNA from 1 species